GCGGGCGUGGCGGAAUUGGCAGACGCACCAGAUUUAGGUUCUGGCGCCGAAAGGCGUGGGGGUUCAAGUCCCUCCGCCCGCACCA
rnacentral:tRNA from 1 species